rnacentral:lncRNA from 1 species
GGCACGCCCGGUGGGACUCGAUUUUAGGUAAAUUCACAUUUUUAUUGAAAUUAUGGCUGAUGAUAAUGCCAUGAAUUUGCGCAAUAGGGUUGUUCCUAGAAAUUCUGGGAGUGAUCAACCUAGUGAUUCAGACAAUGCUGGCGAAUGUCAAGCAGUUUUGCCAGUUGAAGGAGAAACUAGUGGACAGUCGGCUUAUCAAGAGCCGAGUCUAACUCAGGCACUCGGCCAGAUGAGCCAAGUCCUGCAAACUUUAGAAUAAAAUAUCCAUCAAAGUACCGCUCGACUAGACGCGGUGCUGGCCGCUAUCACGGCCUAUAAUGAAAAUAUUGUUCGAAUCAGACAAUUAUUUACCCGAAACGAGCAACCUUAUGGGGGGCAACAAGGGCCCCUAAAUGUGCCGGUGCAACAAAAUCCCGUCACGCCGGCGGUCUUACAGGUGCAACCGCAAAUGGCACCUUUCCAGGUUG